rnacentral:rRNA from 1 species
CCUACGGGUGGCAGCAGUGAGGAAUAUUGGUCAAUGGACGCAAGUCUGAACCAGCCAUGUCGCGUGCAGGAUGACGGCCCUCCGAGUUGUAAACUGCUUUUGUACAAGGGUAAACUUGGAUACGUGUAGUUUGUUGAAGGUACUGCAUGAAUAAGGAUCGGCUAAUUCCGUGCCAGCAGCCGCGGUAAUACGGAGGGUCCAGGCGUUAUCCGGAUUUAUUGGGUUUAAAGGGAGCGCAGGCGGCCUCAUAAGUGUGUUGUGAAAUGUCGUGGCUCAACCGGGGAACUGCCGCGAGUACUGGGGGGCUAGAGAGUAGAGGAGGUAGGCGGAAUGUGUGGUGUAGCGGUGAAAUGCUUAGAGAUCAUAAAGAACACCGAUUGCGAAGGCAGCUUACC